rnacentral:rRNA from 1 species
AUUGAACGCUGGCGGAAUGCUUUACACAUGCAAGUCGAACGGCAGCACGGGGGCAACCCUGGUGGCGAGUGGCGAACGGGUGAGUAACACAUCGGAACGUGCCCAGUCGUGGGGGAUAACGUAGCGAAAGCUACGCUAAUACCGCAUACGAACUCUGGUUGAAAGCGGGGGACUCGCAAGGGCCUCGCGCGAUUGGAGCGGCCGAUGGCAGAUUAGGUAGUUGGUGGGGAAAGGCCUACCAAGCCGACGAUCUGUAGCUGGUCUGAGAGGACGACCAGCCACACUGGGACUGAGACACGGCCCAGACUCCUACGGGAGGCAGCAGUGGGGAAUUUUGGACAAUGGGCGCAAGCCUGAUCCAGCCAUUCCGCGUGCAGGAUGAAGGCCCUCGGGUUGUAAACUGCUUUUGUACGGAACGAAAGGCCUCUUCUAAUACAGGGGGCUCAUGACGGUACCGUAAGAAUAAGCACCGGCUAACUACGUGCCAGCAGCCGCCGCGGUAC